UACGAAGGGGGCUAGCGUUGUUCGGAAUUACUGGGCGUAAAGCGCACGUAGGCGGACAUUUAAGUUGGAGGUGAAAGCCUUGGGCUCAACCCAAGAAUUGCCUUUGAUACUGGAUGUCUCGAGACCGGGAGAGGUGAGUGGAAUUCCGUGUGUAGAGGUGAAAUUCGUAGAUAUUCGGAAGAACACCAGUGGCGAAGGCGGCUCACUGGCCCGGUUCUGACGCUGAGGUGCGAAAGCGUGGGGAGCAAACAGG
rnacentral:rRNA from 1 species